GAAUACUGAAAAAUGAAGCCUAAAAUGAAGUAUUCAACCAACAAAAUUUCCACAGCAAAGUGGAAGAACACAGCAAGCAAAGCCUUGUGUUUCAAGCUGGGAAAAUCCCAACAGAAGGCCAAAGAAGUUUGCCCCAUGUACUUUAUGAAGCUCCGCUCUGGCCUUAUGAUAAAAAAGGAGGCCUGUUACUUUAGGAGAGAAACCACCAAAAGGCCUUCACUGAAAACAGGUAGAAAGCACAAAAGACAUCUAGUACUCGCUGCCUGUCAAGAGCAGUCUACUGUGGAGUGCUUUGCCUUUGGUAUAUCAGGGGUCCAGAAAUAUACUAGAGCACUUCAUGAUUCAAGUAUCACAGGUAUGACUGGUU
rnacentral:lncRNA from 1 species